CCGAGUUAGGGUCUUCAAUGACCUAACCUCCAACCCCUUGUGUAUUAUCAAGCGUUUUAUUGUUGCUUCGGUGGGCUGAAAGUGCUCACCGAAGCCCAACAAAAAUCUUAUUAAUAGUGUUGUCUGAGUUAUUAAAGUAAUAAUUA
rnacentral:misc_RNA from 1 species